AGGUAAAAAGGAGGUGUGACAGAUGGUUGCGGUUUCAUAUCAUCCGUUAUAUAUUUAUUGUUUAAGCUUUUAAUAUUGCUGAUGUGGUCCCAUUUUGUUUUUUUUAUUAUUGUUUCAUGUGAUUUUAUCUGAAGGAUGGUGGAUAAAGUGAACUUAUAUUUUAAUUAUGGGGUGAGUGGGUAUUGGAACCUACACUAUCUUAUACUAAGAAAGACGUGAACCUGUUGAAUGGUUAUGAAGUAGACCACCUCUCUUAUAUUGAUUUGUGUAAAGAAUACAGUGAAGUAAUAGAAUUUGUUGAGGUACAACAGUUACUAUUUAUUGACACAUCUGGGAAAUAUUUUUGUUGGAUGAGGAUGAAGGGAUUAGGAAGCUUCAAGCCUUAAUUAAUAAUAGUUUCACUGAUGUACAUUUAUUUGGUGUUGACCUUCUAGAUGAUGCUCUAAAUAUUCAUGUAUUUACUCAGCAAACUGAUACAAAUAGUGUACUUGUUGUAGUAGCUACUGACUGUAAUAGUAGUGGAGAUGAUACAGAUAUUGAAAGUGUUGAUAAUGAUUAUGAUAGUGAUGCCCUAGGUUUAUUUAGGAGGCAGGAGAAGUUUGAGGUAACUGACCAACUUGAUAGGUAUAAAAUAUUGGAAAAAGGUAUGACAUUCAAAGAUCUUGUUGAAGCUAAGGAGGUUAUUGGUUUUUAUGUGGUUUCUAAUAAGAUGGGCCUUCAGGUAGAUAAGAGUGAUAGGAGAAGACUUAGAUACAAGUGUCAGACUGGGUGUCCCUUUAAAUGUCUUAUUUCUAAGUAUGACAGAGAUCAAUGGGUAAAGAUAAAAACUUGGAGGCAUGAAUAUAAUUGUGAAGUUCUUGAGAACAGAAGAGCUAUUCCUGCUACUUUAAAACAUUAUUUUAAUAGAAAGAUUCAAAAUAAUCCUAAGUUUAAAGUUAAAGAGAUGAAGGUUGAUUUAAAGGAUAGAUUUAGUUUGAAUGUGAAUGAUUCAAAGUUAAAAAGGGCGAAGAGAAUGAUUUUAGAGAAAUUGAAGGGUAGUUACUUAGAUGAGUACAACAAGUUGGAGGCAUAUGCUCAAAAGUUGAGAGAACCAACCCUGGUGCUGAUGUGGUGAUACAGAUAUCCAAGGAUGCAAUGGAGGAAGGUAAGAAAAGAUUUUGGAGGAUGUAUAUCUGCUUCCAGUCCCUCAAGAGUGGAUUCAAAGCAGGUUUCAGACCUUUUAUAGGUCUAGAUUGAUCAUUUUUAAAAGGCAAAUACCAAGGGAUAUUGUUAAUUGCUAUUGCUCAAGAUUCUAGCUAGUAUAUGUAUCCACUAGCUCUGGUUGUGGUGGAUAAGGAAACAAAAAUAACAUAGCAGUCGUUCAUGGAGAACUUGAAGGCUUCUUUGAACUUUAAAGAUGGUGAAGGGUAUACAUUCAUGUCAGAUAUACAGAAGGGUCUAUUAGAGCUAUAAGGAAUGAAUGUCCAUAAUCAUAUCACAGAUAUUGUGCAAGGCAUAUUGAAAUAAACUGGAGUAAGGAUUGGAAGACUGAUGAGAUGAAAAAAUUAAUAUGGUGGUGUUCUUGGAGCACAUAUGAGGAAGAAUUUAAUGAUAUGUUGAAACAGUUAGGUGAAGUAUUUGAGGAUGCUGUCAGAGACUUGAUGAAAUAUCCUCCAGUAAACUGGUGUAGAGCUUACUAUAAUACCCAAUAUAAGAACCCAAUGGUGGACAAUAACUUUAUAGAGUUUUUCAACUCUUGGAUUCUUGAAGCUAGACAUAAGCCAAUUGUGAAAAUGCUUGAGGAUAUAAGAGUAAAGUGGUUGAUAAUUGAAGGUGAUGAAUCACCUAAAGGAUAGAGCAGAUGAAGUUAGCAGUUGGAGAGAUGAAUAUAACCCAUAUGCAAUGGAGUUGUACAAUGAUUACAGAGAGAUGGCUUCAAAGUGCAAGGAAAAUUUCAAUGGAGAUAGGGGUUUUGAAAUAAGUGAAGGUGAAGACAGGCACAUGGUGAUUCUGGAGCAACAAAGGUGCACAUGCAGACUGUGGAACUUGUUUGGAAUCCCUAGUGCUUAUGCUAUCAAGGCAUUCAAUUAUAAGAAACUCGACCCAACCUAGUGGCAUUCCAAACAAGCUAGGCAGUUGGUGUAUCAGCACAAACUGCAACCUGUUAGUGGUAAAAUAUUCUGUAAAGUUUAGCCAAACCAGGCCAUGGAAUCACCAUCAUUAACAAAGAUGGUUGGUAGACCUAAAGUGAAAAGGUCAAGAGAGAAGAAUGAAGCUAGAAAAAGGCAAGGAGAAUUGUCAACUUCUAGGAACGGUCUUCAAAAGACUUGUGGUUUUGUAGCAAGUCAAACCAUAAUAAAAGAAGAUGUCUAUUAGCCAAUAAGGUAUACUUACAAUAUGCUUUUUAUACUUACAAUCUGUUUUUUAUACUUACAAUAUACUUUUUAUACUUACAAUCCAAGAAUGUGUAAGACCAUACUGAGACAACUCAAGACUAAGAAUUAGAAUUUUUCAUGGUCCCUAAUCCUGGUUUUAAAGUAUAAGACCAACAAAUGCAAAGUCAGGCUAGCCAACCAAGUCAGCUGUCCAGUCAACACUCUAGUUAGUACACUUAAAUGCCAAGUCAGCAAUACAGUCAAUACACUCAGAUGCCAAGUCAGCAAUACAAUUAGUACACC